rnacentral:rRNA from 1 species
CCUACGGGAGGCAGCAGUGAGGAAUAUUGGUCAAUGGGCGGGAGCCUGAACCAGCCAUGCCGCGUGAAGGCGAGUGCCCUACGGGUUGUAAACUUCUUUUAUAAAGGAAUAAAGUGAGGCACGUGUGCCUUUUUGUAUGUAUUUUAUGAAUAAGGAUCGGCUAACUCCGUGCCAGCAGCCGCGGUAAUACGGAGGAUCCGAGCGUUAUCCGGAUUUAUUGGGUUUAAAGGGAGCGUAGAUGGGUUGUUAAGUCAGUUGUGAAGGUUUGCGGCUCAACCGUAAAAUUGCAAUUGAUACUGGCAGCCUUGAGUACAGUUGAGGGAGGCGGAAUUCGUGGUGUAGCGGUGAAAUGCUGAGAUAUCACGAAGAACUCCGAUUGCGAAGGCAGCCUACUAAACUGCCACUGACAUUGAUGCUCGAAAGUGUGGGUAUCAAACAGGAUUAGAUACCCGAGUAGUC